UGAGGAAUAUUGGGCAAUGCCCGCAAGGGUGACCCAGCAACGCCGCGUGGAGGAUGAAUGUCGUAAGAUUGUAAACUCCUGUUAGAGGGGGAGAAUAGUACCGGUUGGACCGGUAUAUGACUGUACCCUCAGAGAAAGCCCCGGCUAACUACGUGCCAGCAGCCGCGGUAAUACGUAGGGGGCAAGCGUUGUCCGGAUUUACUGGGUGUAAAGGGCGCGCAGGCGGGAUAAAAAGUCAGUGGUGAAAUCCUACAGCUUAACUGUAGAACUGCCUUUGAUACUUUUAUUCUUGAGUUCGGGAGAGAGAGACGGAAUUCCAGGUGUAGUGGUGAAAUACGUAGAUAUCUGGAAGAACACCAGUUGCGAAGGCGGUCUCUUGGUCCGACACUGACGCUGAGGCGCGAAAGCGUGGGGAGCAAACA
rnacentral:rRNA from 1 species